rnacentral:rRNA from 1 species
GAGUUUGAUCUUGGCUCAGAUUGAACGCUGGCGGCAGGCCUAACACAUGCAAGUCGAGCGGAUGAAGGGAGCUUGCUCCUGGAUUCAGCGGCGGACGGGUGAGUAAUGCCUAGGAAUCUGCCUGGUAGUGGGGAUAACGUCCGGAAACGGGCGCUAAUACCGCAUACGUCCUGAGGGAGAAAGUGGGGAUCUUCGGACCUCACGCUAUCAGACGAGCCUAGGUCGGAUUAGCUAGUUGGUGGGGUAAAGGCCUACCAAGGCGACGAUCCGUAACUGGCCUGAGAGGAUGAUCAGUCACACUGGAACUGAGACACGGUCCAGACUCCUACGGGAGGCAGCAGUGGGGAAUAUUGGACAAUGGGCGAAAGCCUGAUCCAGCCAUGCCGCGUGUGUGAGAAGGUCUUCGGAUUGUAAAGCACUUUAAGUUGGGAGGAAGGGCAGUAAGUUAAUACCUUGCUGUUUGACGUUACCAACAGAAUAAGCACCGGCUAACUUUGUGCCAGCCG